rnacentral:lncRNA from 1 species
GUUAAGAUGAAACGCAAGAGUGAACUUUAAAGAGCUGUCUGUCGUCUCUGUAUCAAGACAUGUCAUCAGAGGUGUGCUUUUCCAGUCAUGGGAAAAUGGCGGUGUGAUGUGUGACAAGGUCCCGUGUCACUGGUUGUUCAUCAACUAUGACACAUUUCCUGCAGACCUUCCUGACUGGACUAGAGGUUUUCUGGAGUGGAAGUGUACAAUACUUGUGCCAAAUUCAAUGCAACAUUUUUUAAAUGCAAGGUACCCAUAGAAAGGAAGAAACCCCCAGCACACUCUUAAAAGCUCCACAAACAUUGUAAUGGAUCUCACAGACACUCAACAAGUGGUCAGAUUCACCAAAACAUAUGGCUGUAUUUCAGCUAGACACUCCAAGCAUAAACAGGUUGUCAGAUUCACCAAAACAUAUGGGUCUAUUUCAGCUAGACACUCCAAGCAAAAACAGGUUGUCAGAUUCACCAAAACAUAUGGCUGUAUUUCAGCUAGACACUGCAAGCAAAACAUCUAAGAGUUAAAUCAGGAAGUACAAGACAACGUGUAAGGUAGACAAACCAUUGGCUUCCCAACCUGCUGAAGUGAAGAUAAUGAUUAUAAAUGUUGUGUGGAACAAUACUCAGUCCCACAGACAGGUGGCAGCAGAGAGGCAUAGUUCUGAUUUUCACUGUAGAACAAUACUCAGUCUCACAGACAGGUGGCAGCAGAGAGUUAUACUCCGGAUAUUCACUGUAGAACAAUACUCAGUCCCACAGACAGGUGGCAGCAGAGAGGCAUAGUUCUGACUGAUUCUCACUGUGGAACAGAUUGGGGACUGUAUUGUUGCUGCCCCCAAGUGACAGAACAACAAGGCCGUCGUUCACUUGGCGUGAAGAUAAAUGUUUAUAGCUGUUAUUUGGGCUUUAUUGAUUCUUAGCAUAUGUGUUGUGUUUCUGUCCUUUGUUUGUGUGUUUUUGGUCCAUUCUCUAAAUACAGUAUCUUCCUCACAUAGACAUUUUGAGAGAGACUGAAAUCAUUCCUGUAACCUAGGCUAUACAGGCUGCAUUUUACACAGACAGCACAAUUCUGAUUUAUUUUUCACUAAUUCACUAAUAUCUGAUGUGAAAAGACCUGAUGUGAUUGUUCAAAAGAUCAGAAUUGGGCUGCCUGUGUAAACGCAGCCAUUUAAUUCUAACCUACGUCAGUGCCUGAUAAAAAUGUAUUUAGAUAACUAUGCCAAUGACGUCUCAGAUACAGGAACUCAAUCUAUAGAUUAAUGUAGGUCAAAGUGUAUUUUACAGCAUCGAGGUCUUUAAGAAUUCAUAUUCCUAAAAUGAACGAUACACUGGAGUGUACAAAACAUUAAGAACACAUUCCUAAUAUUGAGAUUGGAAUGAGCAGGUGUUCUUAAUGUUUUGUACACUGCAGUGUAUACCCAGUGAUUCUUGAGGAACAUAACUCUUAGAUGCUUCAUGAGCUUAGUUCAACUGUCGUAUCCCAUCAGCAUUCACAAUAUCAGCUUGUUUCACCAAUUUGUUUGUAAACAAUGUAAAUGUAAAUUAACGCUGUAUAGACUUAAAACAUUUCUAAAACUAUAAACUUGAUAUUAUUCCACCAGGUAAGUUGACUGGGUGCACGUUUUCAUUUACAGCAGCGACCUGGGGAAUAGUUACAGGGAUGAAUGAGCCAAUUGUAAGCUGGGGACGACUAGGUGGCCAGGAUAGUGUGAGUGCCAUGGGAUCUUUAGUGACCACAGAGUCAGGACACCUGUUUAACAUCCCAUUCGAAAGACAGCACCCUACACAGGGCAAUGUCCCCAAUAACAGCCCUGGGGAAUUGGAAGAAAAAAAAUAAUUGACUAAAGGAAAGGGUGCCUCCUACUGGCCCUCCAACACCACUUCCAGCAGCAUCUGGUCGCCCAUCCAGGACCAA